GUAUAUAUAAUAUAUUUUAAAUAUAUAAUAUAUUUUAAAUUUUGGAUUUCUUUUAGAUUUCUGCAAUUUUAUUUUUAAAAAAAUAUAAAGAUAAAUUUAUAAUAUAAAAAAAUGUAAGAAAUUUUAUAAAAUGUGAUAAAGAUAUAUAAUAUUUUAUAAAAUGAAUUUGUAUUUAUUAUGUAUUUAUUAAUGUUUAAUAUAAUUAUGUACA
rnacentral:tRNA from 1 species